ensembl:lncRNA
CGUGACUCUCCGCUUCCAGUCCCUCGUUCUAGUUUGUGUCUUGUUUUGGUUAUCAACCUAGAUUCCUGCCUAGUCCCGUGUAUACCUGUUUGCCAAUCGCCAGACCUCUUGCCUGUUUAUGAAUUACGUCUUGGAUCACGUUUUGGAUUUGUCUGCCUGCCUGUCUCUUUAAAUAAACAACUGUUAUCCUGCACUUGCAUCCGCCUUAUCUCUGCUUCGUAUCUCUGCUACGAUGUGUGACAACGUAAAUGCAGCCUGAGCCCUAAAAGUGAAAGUAAAAGUACCAGAUAAAAAACAAGCUGUGGUUUGCAUUUGUCCACCAACGAAUUCAGUCCAGAGCGUGUAACUCGGCUGAGAUCCCCCUUCAAAAUGACCCAAGUCUUUCCAGAGAUAAUCAGAUUUUUUGUCAUGGUCCUUGGGAACACCAUGAAUUCCCACAAGACCUUCAUGGAGCGUCUGACAAUUUCACAAAAACUUCGUGAAGUGAAUUCGGUGAACAACAGUGAUGUCAUCAUUGCUUUUGUCCCAGUUGUGUCUCGAGCUGGAACUGACAUUGGAGCUGCAAUGGCCAAAAUUCCUCAGGGUAAGCCUGUCGUUCUCGUGGUGCUCCACCACACAUUCGAUCAGGAUUACAUCGCUCCGGACAGCAGACUCUGUGUGAACAGGAAGGAUGUGUUUGCUGUAGAUUGUCUCUAUCAUGAAGACCAAGGUCUGCUGAAUUGCCUGCGCAAUGACGACGCGAUCAGAGCCGUGAAGAAGCACCUGAGAUGCGACGACCACAUUGAGGACGACUCCAGCUGUGCAAGCUGUGUUGGGCUCAAACUACGUAAAUCCGAUGCAGAAACUGGGGGGGCGAUCCACCCUCAAUUUCCAAGCCAUGGUGCGUCACACGCCCCUGCUGACUUCCGAAGUUACAACAACGUAAAUAUGAUGCAGAAACUGGGGGGGCGAUCCACCCUCAAUUUCCAAGGCAUGGUGCGUCACAGAUGUAUCAGGAUAUUGCUUGUUCUGGGCAUUUUCCUGGCGAUUGGUGUGGGUAUUGGUGUGGGUUUUGGUGUGGGAAUCGGUGCGGGUUUUGGAGUGGGUAUUGUUGUGUUUUGUGUUGUAGUCAUGCUUGUGAUUGUUACCUGGGUUAAAAGCUUUCAAAACCGUUUACCAUGAAUGCAGACUUCAAUACACUGGAACAGACAUAGUAUUAGCAUCACAUAAAUAAAUAAAUAAAUAAAUAAAUAAAUAAAUAAAUAAAUAAACAUUUAAUGGGUGUGUGAGUGUGUGUGAUUGUGCCCUGCGAUGGAUUGGCACCCUGUCCAGGGUGUACCCCGCCUUGUGCCCGAUGUUCCCUGGGAUAGGCUCCAGGUUCCCCGUGACCCUGAAGAAGGAGUAAGCGGUAGAAGAUGGAUGGAUGGAUGGAUGGAAAUAUAUAUUUAGAUAUUUAUAAUCAGAGAAACUUUCUUCUGGCAAGCUCUGUAGACAGGAUUACCAUCUUCUAUUAAGUUUCCCUCAGCAUUCAUAUAAAAUCCAAAAUAUGACCACACUUCGGAUUUGGUCCUCGUGGAAGGUCGGAUAUUCCCCCAAGCCCCGUCACUACCUUCCGCCAUGUUCUCUAACUGAACUAAAUGAUCACAGCAAGCCCAGUGACAACCGUCCAUCACUUUAUAAUCAAAUAUAAACCUGUUUAAAUGAUUUCAGUGUGUGUAUCAGUACUUUUUGUCCAUUUUUCAGCACAAUUUAACAACACCGUGAUAAUACUGAUAACCGUGAUAGUAUUGCUCGUGAUAAUCAUGAUAUGAAAUUUUCAUACUUUUAUAUCUCUACCGCCUUUUGUGCAGAAAUAAUUCCUUUUGUUGGUGUAUGAUGGACAAUUAAGUGGAAUAUGUUUUCUAACUCAUGAACGUGUGCAUAUCAAAUCUAUACUGCGCUUCCAUUUUAGUCCUGGCAUUAAUAAUUGUAAAAGACCUCGAUGUAAGAAAUGUCACAUGCAGCAGACAUUUUUACACACUGUAACAUCUGUCAGAGGGUUUCGAAGUCUGCUCGGAUGAAAGAUAAGAACAGAAGACAAGAAGGAAAACCCGAGGCAAAUGAACCGGUAGUCCCACGAGUCUUUAUAGAAUGGUUCACGCAAUAAUGUACACCAUAGAAGACGUCAUCUUAACGGGUCAUGAACAUUCAGUAUUUAACAUUAGGUGGCCGUUACAACUCAUGUUAAUACACAAAGAGAGUACUUUCGUCUUCUUUAUAUAUCUUAUAUACAUUGAGGAAUUCUAUUACGCCAUGCUUAAAGGGUCAGUCGAGGAUCAACGCUCUCUUGAGAAUCCAUUUAGAGAGACAGGAAGGCUGUUAAAUUCACUUUCACUUUCACUUUCACUCUGUCAGGCUCUCUGUUAAAGGGUCAUGAAACCUCCCUCUUUCUACACAGUAAUCACAAGGACAUUUUAAUCCAGAGUGACACUCAGUGAGGUCAGGAGAGGAAACAAAGCUGUUCUGUAAACACGUGGUGUAAAG